rnacentral:rRNA from 1 species
AGUCGAGCGCUCAUAGCAAUAUGGGAGCGGCGAACGGCGUAGUAAUACGUAGGAACGUACCCUCGGGUCGAGGAUAGCUAUGGGAAACUGUAGGUAAUACUCGAUAACCUCUGCGGAGCAAAGGUGUGAUUCCGCCCGAGGAGCGGCUUACGCGAUAUUAGCUAGUUGGUAGGGUAAUGGCCUACCAAGGCGAAGAUGUCUAGGGGGUGUGAGAGCAUGGCCCCCACGACCGGAACUGAGAUACUGUCCGGACACCUACGGGUGGCUGCAGUCGAGAAUCUUCCGCAAUGGACGAAAGUCUGACGGAGCGACGCCGCGUGCGGGAUGAAGGCCCUUGGGUUGUAAACCGCUGUCAGAGGGGAUGAAAUCUUCGGAGGUACUCCUCCGAAGUUGACAGAGCCUCAAAGGAAGCACGGGCUAAGUACGUGCCAGCAGCCGCGGUAACACGUACUGUGCGAACGUUAUUCGGAAUCACUGGGCUUAAAGGGUGCGUAGGCGGCGAUUCAAGUCAGAUGUGAAAUGCCUGAGCUCAACUGAGGCAUUGCGUUUGAAACUGAAUUGCUAGAGUAUUUCAGGGGUGUGCGGAACUGCCAGUGGAACGGUGAAAUGUGUUGAUAUUGGCAGGAACACCGGAGGCGAAGGCGGCACACUGGGGAAUAACUGACGCUGAGGCACGAAAGCCAAGGGAGCGAACGGGAUUAGAUACCCCGGUAGUCUUGGCCGUAAACGAUGAGUACUGGGCGGGGAGGGGGUUUCCCCUUUCUGCCGUAGCGAAAGCGUUAAGUACUCCGCCUGGGGAGUAUGGUCGCAAGGCUGAA